GCCAGACUAAAAUUGAUAUUGAAAUGAAAUGAAAGUUUUAUGACGUAAGAUGAAAUUACAUUAUAAGUUUAGUGACUGCUUAUCAUUGAAGUUUCAAUGAAGUGGACAUCAUUUCCUGCAUAUGCAGAUCUACAAAGCCAUUUGUACAACUCAAUCUAUACCCAUAUAUCUUUUCCAUCUAUCUUAACAUCAUGUUGAUAUGUUGUUGUAUGUCGUCGUCACAUCUGCACACAUUCGAAGGGAAAAUUGAUACUUGUAUUAUGUGU
rnacentral:misc_RNA from 1 species